rfam:Microdochium bolleyi strain J235TASD1 unplaced genomic scaffold Micbo1qcscaffold_3, whole genome shotgun sequence.
GCUGGUAUGGCCGAGUGGUCUAAGGCGCUUGUUUUAAGUGGGUUUUGCCCAAAAACACAAGUUUCGUAAGAAGCGCAAGUUCGAACCUUGCUGCCAGCA